GAAGCUUGACAUUUGCUUUUCAAAGUUAGGAAUUCUUCUUGAGUCGGUCCUUGAGAAGAACUAGUUGAAUCUUUUGAGUUUGAUGAACUUGGCCUUGUUGAUAUUAAUUGCAAAACCUUCUGUUGACAUACAAAAUCAUGAUUGAAUUUGUCCCACCAUUUGAUGCUGAAUUCUCUAGAAAGAGAUAAUGGAAAAGGAAGAGGUUGCUCUUGCUUCUUGAUGAUGUUCCAUGUGAGAAUCCAUGGAAUUCUUAAUCUUGAACAGAACGUCAGGAGUCUAGGCUGAUUGAUAUACUGUGAUGAAGUCUUGCUCUUAUAGAAGUUGAAUUUCUCUUGAAUAUCCGUAGGAAAUAUUGAAUCUAGUAGACCAAAGAAAGUCCACCAUUUUUGAAACCAAACCGUUCACAGGAAAUUCAACCCGAACUAAGUCAGGACUAAAUCAGUAGCGGCUGCUAAUGAAGCUUGACAUUUGCUUUUCAAAGUUAGGAAUUCUUCUUGAGUCAUUCCUCUGCUGUCAACAACUUGUAGUCAUCAGCUCUCUGUAAUCAAGGUAUAUUUUCAAUAAACAAUAUUUUCAGAUUCAAAUAUUUGUGUUAUUAUGCUUAAAUUUCUGCAAUAAAUUAGACAGUAUUAGACAUUAAAUAUUUCUGUUUUUAUGCUUGGAGUUAAUUAGACAGAUUUAAUUACUGCGUGCACGAACUGUUGUAUGUCCUGGGUACAAAUGGUAUCAGAGCCAUUUUCUGCUUGAGAACCGAGUGGUGUUACGAGUUGGAACAGUGAUUAAUCGCACAUUUAGUCCUGACUUAGUUCGGGUUGAAUUUCCUGUGAACGGUUUGGUCAGCCUGU
rnacentral:lncRNA from 1 species